CACAUGGAUCUCCUCCGGCGAGUCGCCGUGGUAGCCGUGCUCCUGUCGCUGCCGUCGCGUGGCCGCUCCGGCGGCGGCGGCAGCGAUCUGCACCCGGUCGUGCUCGUGCCGGGGUACGGGUCCAACCGGCUCUACGCGCGGCUGACUGCGGCGUACGAGCCGGCGGCGCCUCGCUGCGGCGCGCGAGAGGGGAAGGAUGAG
rnacentral:misc_RNA from 1 species